UACGGAGGCCCCUAGCGUUGUUCGGAAUCACUGGGCUUAAAGAGGGUGUAGGCGGAAUGGCAAGUACUUUGUGAAAGCCCCGGGCUCAACCCGGGAAUUGCUUGGUAUACUGCCAUUCUUGAGGCAGGUAGGGGUCACUGGAACCUUAGGUGGAGCGGUGAAAUGCGUAGAUAUCUAAGGGAACGCCUGUGGCGAAAGCGGGUGACUGGGCCUGUCCUGACGCUGAGACCCGAAAGCGUAGGUAGCGAACGGG
rnacentral:misc_RNA from 1 species